rnacentral:rRNA from 1 species
GACGAACCGUGCAAACGUUGUUCGGAAUCACUGGGCUUAAAGGGCGCGUAGGCGGGCCAGCCAGUCUGUGGUGAAAGCCUCCAGCUUAACUGGAGAAGUGCCGUGGAUACUGCUGGCCUCGAGGAGGGUAGGGGCAUCUGGAACGGUCGGUGGAGCGGUGAAAUGCGUUGAUAUCGACCGGAACUCCGGUGGCGAAGGCAGGUCUCUGGGCAUUAACUGACGCUGAGGAGCGAAAGCAUGGGGAGCGAACAGG